rnacentral:rRNA from 1 species
ACGGAGGAUGCAAGCGUUAUCCGGAUUUAUUGGGUUUAAAGGGUACGCAGGCUGACCGGUAAGUCAAUGGUGAAAAGCUCCUGCUUAACAGGAGUCGUGCCAAUGAUACUGCCGGACUAGAGUGUAAGAGGGGUGGCUGGAAUGUGGUGUGUAGCGGUGAAAUGCUUAGAUAUGCCACAGAACGCCGAUAGUGAAGACAGGUCACAAGAUUACAACUGACGCUCAUGCACGAAAGCGUGGGGAUCAAACAG